rnacentral:rRNA from 1 species
GACGAACGCUGGCGGCGUGCUUAACACAUGCAAGUCGAACGGAAAGGCCCUGCUUUUGUGGGGUGCUCGAGUGGCGAACGGGUGAGUAACACGUGAGUAACCUGCCCUUGACUUUGGGAUAACUUCAGGAAACUGGGGCUAAUACCGGAUAGGAGCUCCUGCUGCAUGGUGGGGGUUGGAAAGUUUCGGCGGUUGGGGAUGGACUCGCGGCUUAUCAGCUUGUUGGUGGGGUAGUGGCUUACCAAGGCUUUGACGGGUAGCCGGCCUGAGAGGGUGACCGGCCACAUUGGGACUGAGGUACGGCCCAUACUCCUACGGGAGGCAGCAGUGGGAAAUAUUGCACAAUGGGCGGAAGCCUGAUGCAGCAACUCCGCGUGCGGGAUGACGGCCUUCGGGUUGUAAACCUCGUUCGCCUGUGACGAAGCGUGAGUGACGGUAAUGGGUAAAGAAGCACCGGCUAACUACGUG